rnacentral:rRNA from 1 species
GAUGAACGCUAGCUACAGGCUUAACACAUGCAAGUCGAGGGGUAACGAGAGGAAAGCUUGCUUUCCUUGUCGACGACCGGCGCACGGGUGAGUAACGCGUAUCCAACCUGCCCCCAACUAGGGAAUAACCUUGCGAAAGUAAGACUAAUACCCUAUAAUUUCCUCAGAUGUCAUCUGACGAGGAAUAAAGAUUUAUCGGUUGUGGAUGGGGAUGGGUCUGAUUAGCUUGUUGGCGGGGUAACGGCCCACCAAGGCAACGAUCAGUAGGGGUUCUGAGAGGAAGGUCCCCAACAUUGGAACUGAGACACGAUCCAAACUCCUACGGUAGACAUCAAUGAGGAAGAUUGGUCAAUGGGCGAAAGCCUGAACCAGCCAAGUAGCGUGCAGGAUGACGGCCCUAUGGGUUGUAAACUGCUUUUAUACAGGAAUAAAGUUAGCCACGUGUGGUUAUUUGUAGGUACUGUAUGAAUAAGGACCGGCUAAUUCCGUGCCAGCCGCCGCCGUAA